GAUGAACGCUGGCGGCGUGCCUAAUACAUGCAAGUCGAGCGAACAGAUGAGGAGCUUGCUCCUCUGACGUUAGCGGCGGACGGGUGAGUAACACGUGGAUAGCCUACCUAUAAGACUGGGGUAACUUCGGGAAACCGGAGCUAAUACCGGAUAAUAUAUUGAACCGCAUGGUUCAAUAGUGAAAGACGGUUUUGCUGUCACUUAUAGAUGGAUCCGCGCCGCAUUAGCUAGUUGGUAAGGUAACGGCUUACCAAGGCAACGAUGCGUAGCCGACCUGAGAGGGUGAUCGGCCACACUGGAACUGAGACACGGUCCAGACUCCUACGGGAGGCAGCAGUAGGGAAUCUUCCGCAAUGGGCGAAAGCCUGACGGAGCAACGCCGCGUGAGUGAUGAAGGUCUUCGGAUCGUAAAACUCUGUUAUUAGGGAAGAACAAAUGUGUAAGUAACUAUGCACGUCUUGACGGUACCUAAUCAGAAAGCCACGGCUAACUACGUG
rnacentral:rRNA from 1 species